GGCGUCUCGGAAGGAAAGAAGAGGACUCUCAAGCCUCGGUGGAGGGUAGCUGAAGAAAAAGCUGAGAAUGAGAUCUUCCAGUAGACAGUAUAGAACGAAAAGAGAAGGCAGCCUGCUCUCUUCUUGAAACUCAUCUGUUGAACUCUGGGAGACUACCCCAUCCUAGUUCUGUACCUGCCUCCCUACUUCUGCAUUUCAACUGUUGCUGAUCCACAAGGAUUGGACCUUCCCCCCAACCCCUUGGAGAACUUAUCUGAUGACUCAGGGUACAGGUUGCUCUGGAGCUCCAGCCCUGGGAACCCUUCUCCAGAUUGUAGAGAGAAGGAGGCAGCACAGUGUAGUGGAAAGAUCAUGGCCCAGUGAAUCAGGCAGAUGUGCGCCUCAUCACCUGGGGGAAAAAACUCCAAUCUAAACAUCCUGGUCUUCAACUGUAAGAUGACUGCCGAGCUAUGAAGUUGUUCAGAGAAUUCAAAAGGAGACAGAGUCCUGACAUGGAAAUGUAUGGUGUAGUUCGUUUGCAAUUCUUGGAUAAAUAAUGCCACAAUGAGAGGGGACAUUUUUGAGUCUAUUACACAUUGUCUGUCUACUCCCCCUGACUGAUACCUCACUCUCCUCCCUCACUGUUCUAAUGUCUUCUUUUAGCCCCCAGUCUUGGGUGUGAAGGGGGUCCUUGGCUUCCUGAAGGGAGUCAUGAUUCCUGGUGGAAGCCAGGGAGGGUGUAGCAUCCUUCUUGUGAGUUUUGUGCCACCUGAGUGUAGAUGGUUACAGGUGGGGGCUGCUUCUGCAGCAGAAUCCCUCUCCUGAGAGCUCUGCAUCUAAGUUUUCCUCUUUCUUUAGGGUUUCGAUUUUGCAAUGCAUGUGAUUUCUAUGAUGGAUUCACUUGCCUCAAGCCACAAAAAUCUUGCUCGAAAUUUAAUCUUUUCUUCCCGACGGCUUGUACCACAGACCACUUUUACUUUUAUCAUCGUCGUACAGGUAAGUGCAUGUUAGAAAGAGACAUAAAAUAUCACCUCUGGUGCCCACAAUCCCUAACAUCAAGAUGGGGAGGCAACCUGGUCCAGGGGAGGGUUGACAGAGAGAGCUUCUCCAUAUGUAGACCUGGGGUGCAGGCUGUGUGGGAGGCAGAUGUCUUUUGUCUGAGAAGCAGACACAGCCUUGGGGCUCAUUCCUGUGUACACAAAAGUGUUAAAGUUCUGGAGGGAAAUCAUGGCUUAGAAGAUGGUGAGAUUAAGCAAGGUGGUCACAUUUCCUUUUUUGUUCUCUUUAGGGAGAUAUUUCUACCGUUACUCAAAACUAUCUUGUAGGCCUUGUGAAGCAGGAAUGUCCCAAUUAUUUCAUGACUUAUUGAGAGAAACACAUUGCUGCCUUAAGGACAAGUGUAAUGAUGUUGAAAAGACUUUGGAUAUUUUUAAAUCCCCUAGAUAACAAUACAAAGAAAGUAUACAUAAAGACAGAAAAUAAAAUAAGAUUUUGAAACCAUUCUCUCCCAGUAAUCUUUGCCCUUCCUCAACCAGUGGCAACAUCAUCUUACAUUUACAUUUUACUUACAUCUUACAUGUUACAUUUCCCCAAAACCCAGACCCCACAGCUCUAUUCCAGUAGAUCUAACUAUGGAAGCUCUGUCUUUCUCAUGUCAUUGCUUCCAUUAACAAGAAAGUGCAAAGGCAUAGGCCAAAAAAAGCCAUGUCUGCCUUCUGGGUGGAUCCUCUUCUCUCUGCUACCUGUAUCUCCUGGCAAUCGUUACUUGUCCUUAAGUUCGGUUGCUAAACCUGCCCAAUUCAGCGUUCUCAAGUUUCUGGCAAAGGGAGCAAAGUGCUUUUCUGAUGGUGCUUCUGAGAGAAGAUCAGGAGAAAGCAGUUUGGAUAAAAUUAGGGACAAGAAAUCACAAAAGAUUUUGGAAUAUUUGGGAGGAGAGUAGAAGUGGUAUUUGGUGGGGGCUGGUGUUAAACAAGGGCUGGAGAAAAUCCAGGUGAAAUUAGACAACACUAACUUCUGCGAGAGGAAUAGGUAGUAUACUAGAUGUGGGAGAGUUAGUCCCUGCCACCAUUUUUUUGGAAACUACCAAGCACAGCUACUCCUGACCUUGGUAGCCCUAAGUCACCAUGUUUCUAAUCAUCUUACUCUUGAGUCAAAGCCAAGUGUAUCAGGAUGGGCAGCUGGCUGAGUGUUGGCCAGUUAUCCUAUCUCCUGGCAUGUGAGGAAUACUACCCAGUCCUCAAAAAUAUUUAAGUAUUACCUUGCAUUCAGUGCACUCAUUGAUAGAAAACUGAGGGUUUUUCAUUUAUGGGCACAGCCCGGCAACAGAAAAUGUCAAGGAGUUGUAAGCGUUUCAGAUCUUCAAUGUAGUUUUCCUAACAAAAAUAAUAAGCCAUGAAAUGACAAAAAUCAAUCCCAAAUUAUUAUUCACUGACUUUAGGUUAAAAUGUUUUACCAUAUUGAUAUUCUGAUGUGUUAGAAAAUACAGACACUGUUAUUUUUUACCAUAGAUUUAUAUACACAUAUAUAUUAUUCUAGGUUUUGUAGUAUUCCUCCUGAUAUCCAGGUUAUGAGUUUCUAUCAUUUUAUUUGCCCACAUAGAAAUUUUUUUUUUUUUUUUUUUUUUGCUUUUUAGGGCCGCACCCAUGGUAUAUGGAGGUUCCCAGGCUAUGGGUCAAAUCAGAGCUCUAGCUACUGGCCUAUACCACAGCCACAGCAACUCAAGAUCCGAGCUGUGUCUGUGACCUACACCACAGCUCACGGAUCCUUAACCCACUGAGCAAGACCCGCGUACUCAUGGAUACUUGUGGAUUCAUUUCCGCUGCACCACAACAGAAACUCCAAAAAAUAUUAAUAUGUAAAUUAAUUUUAAAAUAUUUUCAAUAAGUGUAUUCUGGAAUUUCCCCAAAAUUGUGUCGUGUUAUAAUGAGUAUUAUACUUUAACCUCUUUCAAAGUAGAAAAUAUGGUGGAUUCUUCCAUUCUGGGUUGUUUAUUUAGUUUAUAUGACUAGAAUGGUUCCAAAUAUUAUAUGAUUCAUGGGGGGCUUACUGUGAAGUGUGAUUAGUGUCUAGAAUGGUCUCAAGUCAAACUAGAAACAAAGUACACACUUCAAAUUAAAGAGAUACAAUGUGAGGAAGGUUACUGGGAGCAGGAAGAAUAGGGGUACACACUAAGUGAUAGACAGAUGGAGACUGAUUGUCACACCCAGGGCUAAGCUCAAAGUGAAGAUUCAUAAAAUCCCAUGGUGCAGCCCCUAGAGUUUCAUCCUAUCCAGACUGACCCUCCAGGUCCACUCCUUCUGAGCUUGUCCUAGAUGUCUCCUGUCUUGGAGUUCCAUGAGAUUCUCAACUCCCGCAUUGCCUCAUGUUACAAUACCCUGUCACACCCUAAUUUUCUUGGUCCAAUUGUUGUGCAAUUCCAUUCUUUACAUUUUACAGAAUAAAGGACAAGUACACAAAAACCAAGUGGGAAGUAGAGGGGAAAACAAGGCAGGCCAAACCCUGAGCAAGUGCACUAGUUCUAGAUUCAGGUCCAGAAAUCUCUUUCAGGCCAAAGAUCCUUUAGUUGGAGGUGGAGUUAAGCUGACAAAAUUGAUCAAAGAAGAUAACCCAUCAUACAGAACUUUAAGGGUUAGUAAUAUUCAGAAAAAUAGGGUUCCUUUUGUAUAAAUGUGUGUAAAAUCAUAGAUUUCCAAUAAAAAUGUGUUCAUUACUGAAAUAUUAUCAGAAAAUUACAUCUCAAAGCUUCUGUUUGCAAGUUUUGUAUAAGUUGUAAUUGCAUUGGCAUCCAGCAACCUGGCUCUAAGAUCUCCAGUAGGCUCUAUGUGGAAACAUUAUGUGAUCUGGGACUCCUUAUUUGACCUCAGGUUUUAGUGGACUGGGCUCUAAAUCAACUGGUGAAUGUUUCAAAAUGUGCCCUGUG
rnacentral:lncRNA from 1 species